rnacentral:tRNA from 1 species
GUAAGCAUAGCUCAAUAGGUAGAGUUUUAGAUUGUGGCUCUAAAGAUAUGGGUUCGAGUCCCAUUGUUUACC